rnacentral:rRNA from 1 species
UUACCGAAUUCAGACAAACUCCGAAUGCCAAUUAAUUUAACUUGGGAGUCAGAACAUGGGUGAUAAGGUCCGUGUUCGAAAGGGAAACAGCCCAGACCACCAGCUAAGGUCCCAAAAUAUAUGUUAAGUGGAAAAGGAUGUGGCGUUGCCCAGACAACUAGGAUGUUGGCUUAGAAGCAGCCAUCAUUUAAAGAGUGCGUAAUAGCUCACUAGUCGAGUGACACUGCGCCGAAAAUGUACCGGGGCUAAACAUAUUACCGAAGCUGUGGAUUGUCCUUUGGACAAUGGUAGGAGAGCGUUCUAAGGGCGUUGAAGCAUGAUCGUAAGGACAUGUGGAGCGCUUAGAAGUGAGAAUGCCGGUGUGAGUAGCGAAAGACGGGUGAGAAUCCCGUCCACCGAUUGACUAAGGUUUCCAGAGGAAGGCUCGUCCGCUCUGGGUUAGUCGGGUCCUAAGCUGAGGCCGACAGGCGUAGGCGAUGGAUAACAGGUUGAUAUUCCUGUACCACCUAUAAUCGUUUUAAUCGAUGGGGGGACGCAGUAGGAUAGGCGAAGCGUGCGAUUGGAUUGCACGUCUAAGCAGUAAGGCUGAGUAUUAGGCAAAUCCGGUACUCAUUAAGGCUGAGCUGUGAUGGGGAGAAGACAUUGUGUCUUCGAGUCGUUGAUUUCACACUGCCGAGAAAAGCCUCUAGAUAGAAAAUAGGUGCCCGUACCGCAAACCGACACAGGUAGUCAAGAUGAGAAUUCUAAGGUGAGCGAGCGAACUCUCGUUAAGGAACUCGGCAAAAUGACCCCGUAACUUCGGGAGAAGGGGUGCUCUUUAGGGUUAACGCCCAGAAGAGCCGCAGUGAAUAGGCCCAAGCGACUGUUUAUCAAAAACACAGGUCUCUGCUAAACCGUAAGGUGAUGUAUAGGGGCUGACGCCUGCCCGGUGCUGGAAGGUUAAGAGGAGUGGUUAGCUUCUGCGAAGCUACGAAUCGAAGCCCCAGUAAACGGCGGCCGUAACUAUAACGGUCCUAAGGUAGCGAAAUUCCUUGUCGGGUAAGUUCCGACCCGCACGAAAGGCGUAACGAUUUGGGCACUGUCUCAACGAGAGACUCGGUGAAAUCAUAGUACCUGUGAAGAUGCAGGUUACCCGCGACAGGACGGAAAGACCCCGUGGAGCUUUACUGUAGCCUGAUAUUGAAAUUCGGCACAGCUUGUACAGGAUAGGUAGGAGCCUUUGAAACGUGAGCGCUAGCUUACGUGGAGGCGCUGGUGGGAUACUACCCUAGCUGUGUUGGCUUUCUAACCCGCACCACUUAUCGUGGUGGGAGACAGUGUCAGGCGGGCAGUUUGACUGGGGCGGUCGCCUCCUAAAAGGUAACGGAGGCGCUCAAAGGUUCCCUCAGAAUGGUUGGAAAUCAUUCAUAGAGUGUAAAGGCAUAAGGGAGCUUGACUGCGAGACCUACAAGUCGAGCAGGGUCGAAAGACGGACUUAGUGAUCCGGUGGUUCCGCAUGGAAGGGCCAUCGCUCAACGGAUAAAAGCUACCCCGGGGAUAACAGGCUUAUCUCCCCCAAGAGUUCACAUCGACGGGGAGGUUUGGCACCUCGAUGUCGGCUCAUCGCAUCCUGGGGCUGUAGUCGGUCCCAAGGGUUGGGCUGUUCGCCCAUUAAAGCGGUACGCGAGCUGGGUUCAGAACGUCGUGAGACAGUUCGGUCCCUAUCCGUCGUGGGCGUAGGAAAUUUGAGAGGAGCUGUCCUUAGUACGAGAGGACCGGGAUGGACAUACCUCUGGUGUACCAGUUGUCGUGCCAACGGCAUAGCUGGGUAGCUAUGUGUGGACGGGAUAAGUGCUGAAAGCAUCUAAGCAUGAAGCCCCCCUCAAGAUGAGAUUUCCCAACUUCGGUUAUAAGAUCCCUCAAAGAUGAUGAGGUUAAUAGGUUCGAGGUGGAAGCAUGGUGACAUGUGGAGCUGACGAAUACUAA